UUGAGCACUAGAAUGCUAAACACAGCUCGUUAGCGUUGUUGUGCCAGAGGUUGUACAAUGGUGCAUGGUUAUACAGUUGGGGCCACUUCGGGUAGUGCGUACGGCCCAGUACAUCACUAGGGACAAGUUCCUGCCAUCCAGGACCUCUAUACCAGGAAGUGUCAGAAGAAGGCCCUAAAAAUUGUCAAAGACUCCAGCCAUGCUAGUCAAGUACUGUAAUGCCAAGAGUGUGCAAAGCUGUCUGUAAGGAUACUGUGGUGGAGAAAUGUUGCCCGCAACAAAAAAAAGAGGAUCUGAAGAUAGUUAAAUCAAAGCCAAAGAAGACAAGGUCUAAAAGGGAUUAACAUAAGUGUAAAUAUGUAAUAUGUAUUUAAUAAAAACAACAUCUCAAUUAAGUUUGUAUUAGCUUGUUAUUUAUUGUUUGAUUAUACAACUACGUGUGACUUGGGUGGGCAUUCUAG